GAUCUAGCUCAAUCGGUAGAGCAUGAGACUCUUAAUUCCAAGGUCAUGGGUUUGAGUCCCACGUUGGGCA